UACGUAGGGUGCGAGCGUUGUCCGGAAUUACUGGGCGUAAAGCGUGCGCAGGCGGUUCGUUGUGUCGGCGGGGAAAUCCCCGGGCUUAACCUGGGAAUGGCCAUGGAAACUGGCGAACUGGAGUGUGGCAGAGGGGGGUGGAAUUCCGCGUGUAGCAGUGAAAUGCGUAGAGAUCAGCAGGAAUACCCGUGGCGAAGGCGGCCCCCUGGGCCGAACCUGACGCUGAGGCGCGAAGGCUAGGGGAGCGAACGGG
rnacentral:rRNA from 1 species